GCCUGGGUGGCUCAGUCGGUAAAGUGUCUGACUUGGGCUCAGGUCAUGAUCUCGCAGCCUGUGGGUUCGAGCCCCACGUCCGGCG
rfam:Felis catus isolate Cinnamon breed Abyssinian chromosome F2, whole genome shotgun sequence.